rnacentral:lncRNA from 1 species
CCAGGCAGUGGCCAAUGCACAUGAGGCCAGUGCACAGCAACUGCCUUUAGAGGAAGGAAGAUUUGUGUCCUCAUAUUCUCUUCUCCCCUCCCUGCUCACUGGCAGUAGAUAGGAUGGACACUGUGGGGGAAGCUACACCCUAAGAAAGUCAGAGCAGCAAGAUGGAAGUAGCCUAAGACCCUGAAAAAUGCACAAAGAAGAAUCACCCGACUGGCUUGGACUUUCAUGUGAAAGGAAUGAACCUCUGUCUUAGUAAAGCCACUGUCUUUACUAAGUUCAGGGUCCUUGUCACGUUCACUGAGGCUGUAACAUAAUUGUUAGAAAGAACAGGAGUGGGAGGGGAGAUGGAGUCGGAGAGUCAGGCAGAGGUUAGAUCACAUCGGGCCUGUAGGCCAAGGCGGAGGAAGAAACAGGCGACACAGGACUCAAGGACAACACCUGCUCCCAGGCAAAAGGAGUUUGUGAUCAGAGGCCGCACUCAUCGUAGCAGAGAGGCAGGACCAACUGGGAGAGGGUCAUUCUGUGACACCUACUGCAUCACCGGGCUGUGUGAAGUGACUCAGCUGCCAGAACUCACACAAUAUCAUUCUACACCAAAACCUCACGGGAAAAAUGCUCCCCGACCCUCAGACUUAAACAGCAGCACUGGCUCCUCCCCAGAUCUCCAGCUCCCUGACCCUCAAACUCCAACUGCAGCACCAGCUCCACCUGGGUCUCCAGCUCCAUGAUCCUCAAACUACAACAGCAGCACCAGCUCCCCCGUGGAUCUCCAGCUCAAUGACUCUCAGACUUGGGAGGUGGCACUGGCUCCCAACCAAGGCUCCAGCUCCACAAACCUCAAACUAGAACAGCAGCACCAGCUACUCCCUGGGUCUCCAGCUCCCUCAAACUUCAACUAUAGCACUGGCUCUUCCCUGGGGCCACCAGCUCCACAACCCUCAACUUACACGGUGGUAGCACCAGCUCCUCCCCAGGUCUCCAGCUCCACGACCAUCAAACUUGAACUGCAACACCAGCUCCUCUUCAGCUCCUCCCUGAAUCUCCAGCUCAACAACUCACAGACUUGAGAGGCAGCACCGGCACCUCCCCUCCAGCUCAAUGACUCUCAGACUUCAAAGGCAGCACCAGCUCGAAUGAAAAAGCCGAAGACCUUUAGCCUGUCACUACCUCUGAACGCACCCAACCCCACAGGAGCCAGCAGAGAAAAAACAAGAACAAAGGUGAGGAAAAGAGCGGGUGCUUCCCCCCGCAACUAAGGACUCUCGAGGCUUAGGCUGAACUUGAGCUGAAGAAAGGACUAAUCUAGGAGAUGGGUGUGAGAUAAAAGUUUAGAUUUGUCUGGCCUGGAUGACUAAAGUUUCAAUAUGGCACCUUAAUUCCUUAACGAAGAGAAAGAAUGUAUAUCUUGUGGUAAUGGGGACCAGCAGCUCCAUGAAUCAAAGCUUUCUGUGGCUCGAUCUAGUUCAGAGUCUGAGUGAUACAUUUAAUGUGCCAGCAAAAGCCUCUGGUAAACAGGGAGCAGUGUUACAGCCAGCAGAGCCCAAGAGCUUGCCAGAGCUGAUGGAGAUUGAAGGGAGCAGGUUGGAGCUCCUCCUGAGGCAGAAUGAGAGGAAGGCUCUC